rnacentral:rRNA from 1 species
AGUUGCUAACGCGUGAAGGCGAGCACUCUAGACGAACUGCCGUUGACAAAACGGAGGAAGGUGGGGAUGACGUCAAAUCAUCAUGCCCCUUAUGUUCUGGGCUACACACGUGCUACAAUGGCCGGUACAGACGGACGCAAAGCCGCGAGGUGGAGCAAAUCCUAAAAAGCCGGUCUCAGUUCGGAUUGCAGGCUGCAAUUCGCCUGCAUGAAGUCGGAAUCGCUAGUAAUCGCAGGUCAGCAUACUGCGGUGAAUACGUUCCCGGGCCCUU